UACGGGGGGGGCAAGCGUUGUUCGGAAUUACUGGGCGUAAAGGGCGCGUAGGCGGCCUUCUAAGUCGAACGUGAAAUCCCCGGGCUCAACCCGGGAACUGCGUCCGAUACUGGGAGGCUUGAAUCCGGGAGAGGGAUGUGGAAUUCCAGGUGUAGCGGUGAAAUGCGUAGAUAUCUGGAGGAACACCGGUGGCGAAGGCGGCAUCCUGGACCGGUAUUGACGCUGAGGCGCGAAAGCUAGGGGAGCAAACGGGAU
rnacentral:rRNA from 1 species